rnacentral:lncRNA from 10 species
AUUACACUCAAAUUCAUAUGUAAUACUGGAGAAAAGGCCUAAUUACAACUUAAACUGGAUUUCCCACCAGCCUGGUGGCAUGGGAAUCUUGGAAUUAAAAUUACGUAGAAUUUUUAAAAGUGAUGUAUCUUCUACAUCUGAUUUUGUGAACUGAAGUUUAUUCUUUCCAGGAAAGCAUAUAGAUACACGACAGGAAAUGAAAUGGAUACUUGUU